CAGAGCGGUCAGAGCGCGGCCCGAUAACGCCCGGGCGGCUUUCCGUCCCGGCUCCAUCUCAUAACGUGUUUGAAACGGCAUCCAUGGUCGCCCUCAGCGAGAGCGAAUGCCGCUCAUGUCAGCAAAUUUCGCUUGGCCGGACGGCUGAUCUGUGGAAUGUGCGAGCGCAAUUCGAAUUUCAGCCGGGAGAUGGUUCGUGGGCGCAGCGAUGAAUCUUGAAGACUACCUGAAGCUCGUCGGCACGGAGCUCGGUGUUUCGGAGUGGCAUACCAUCGAUCAGAAACAGAUCGACGCAUUCGCCGAUGCGACCGAAGACUUUCAGUUCAUUCACAUCGACCCGGAGAGGGCAAAGCGUGAGACGCCGUUUGGCGGGACCAUUGCGCACGGAUUUCUCUCUCUGUCGG
rnacentral:misc_RNA from 1 species